rnacentral:rRNA from 1 species
UUCUGGCUCAGGAUGAACGCUGGCGGCGUGCAUAACACAUCAAGUCGAACGGGCAGUAUCCUUCGGGGGUGCUGCUAGUGGCGGACGGGUGAGUAAACGCGUGAGCAACCUGCCUCUGUGAGUGGAAUAACACAGGGAAACUUGUGCUAAUACCGCAUGACGAAGCGAAGCCGCAUGACUUUGCUUCCAAAGAUUUAUCGCACAGAGAUGGGCUCGCGUCCGAUUAGGCAGUUGGUGAGGUAACCGGCUCACCAAACCGACGAUCGGUAGCCGGACUGAGAGGUUGAACGGCCACAUUGGAACUGAGAUACGGUCCAGACUCCUACGGGAGGCAGCAGUGGGGAAUAUUGGGCAAUGGGGCCGCAAGCCUAACCCAGCGACGCCGCGUGAGGGAAGAAGGUCUUCGGAUUGUAAACCUCUUUGACGAGGGGACGAAGUAAGUGACGGUACCCUAGAAAACAAGCCACGGCUAACUACGUGCCAGCAGCCGC